AGCCUUUCGGGGUACACGAGCGGCGAACGGGUGAGUAACACGUGGGUGAUCUGCCCUGCACUCUGGGAUAAGCUUGGGAAACUGGGUCUAAUACCGGAUAUGACCACAGCAUGCAUGUGUUGUGGUGGAAAGAUUUAUCGGUGCAGGAUGGGCCCGCGGCCUAUCAGCUUGUUGGUGGGGUAAUGGCCUACCAAGGCGACGACGGGUAGCCGACCUGAGAGGGUGACCGGCCACACUGGGACUGAGACACGGCCCAGACUCCUACGGGAGGCAGCAGUGGGGAAUAUUGCACAAUGGGCGGAAGCCUGAUGCAGCGACGCCGCGUGAGGGAUGAAGGCCUUCGGGUUGUAAACCUCUUUCAGCAGGGACGAAGCGUGAGUGACGGUACCUGCAGAAGAAGCACCGGCUAACUACGUGCCAGCAGCCGCGGUAAUACGUAGGGUGCGAGCGUUGUCCGGAAUUACUGGGCGUAAAGAGUUCGUAGGCGGUUUGUCGCGUCGUUUGUGAAAACCCGGGGCUCAACUUCGGGCUUGCAGGCGAUACGGGCAGACUUGAGUGUUUCAGGGGAGACUGGAAUUCCUGGUGUAGCGGUGAAAUGCGCAGAUAUCACGAGGAACACCGGUGGCGAAGGCGGGUCUCUGGGAAACAACUGACGCUGAGGAACGAAAGCGUGGGUAGCAAACAGGAUUAGAUACCCUGGUAGUCCACGCCGUAAACGGUGGGCGCUAGGUGUGGGUUCCUUCCACGGGAUCUGUGCCGUAGCUAACGCAUUAAGCGCCCCGCCUGGGGAGUACGGCCGCAAGGCUAAAACUCAAGGAA
rnacentral:rRNA from 1 species